rnacentral:rRNA from 1 species
GUAGGGAAUCUUGCGCAAUGGGCGAAAGCCUGACGCAGCCAUGCCGCGUGAAUGAUGAAGGUCUUAGGAUUGUAAAAUUCUUUCACCGGGGACGAUAAUGACGGUACCCGGAGAAGAAGCCCCGGCUAACUUCGUGCCAGCAGCCGCGGUAAUACGAAGGGGGCUAGCGUUGCUCGGAAUUACUGGGCGUAAAGGGAGCGUAGGCGGAUAGUUUAGUCAGAGGUGAAAGCCCAGGGCUCAACCUUGGAAUUGCCUUUGAUACUGGCUAUCUUGAGUAUGGAAGAGGUAUGUGGAACUCCGAGUGUAGAGGUGAAAUGCGUAGAUAUUCGGAAGAACACCAGUGGCGAAGGCGACAUACUGGUCCAUUACUGACGCUGAGGCUCGAAAGCGUGGGGAGCAAACAGGAUUAGAUACCCCGGUAGUCC